UACGUAGGUGGCAAGCGUUGUCCGGAUUUAUUGGGUUUAAAGGGUGCGUAGGCGGCCCUGUAAGUCAGUGGUGAAAUACUCCAGCUUAACUGGAGGGGUGCCAUUGAUACUGCAGGGCUUGAGUGGAGUAGAAGUAGGCGGAAUUGACGGUGUAGCGGUGAAAUGCUUAGAUAUCGUCAAGAACACCGAUAGUGAAGACAGCUUACUAUGCUUCAACUGACGCUGAGGCACGAAAGUGUGGGGAUCAAACAGGAUUAGAUACCCGAGUAGU
rnacentral:rRNA from 1 species